UUCUGAUUUAGUGUAUUUGGGAUAGGGACCAAGAUCUUUUCGUAAAAAAUGUAUCAGUGUGUUUUAAUGUAAAAGGUCUAGAAGGACUGUAGUGUUUUUUAAAACAACAAAAAUGGCAUGCACAUGUAUGUUUGGACAAGGAGAAUGCAGCUAUUGAAAGCUUGUUAUUUCUUUGAAAUUUUAUGAUUUAUUUUUAAAAAAAUGGAAUCAUAAUACGUAGUUUUCUUUAACCUGUAGCAUAAACUUAAGUUGAAACUCUGGUUUAACCAUGUAAUAAAAUGUCUUUUAUGUAAAUAAACUUAAAUAAUAUUUUAAAAGUUUGUUAACCUGUGUGUUACAAAAUGGCAAAGUACUGCUAUAAUUGAUAAUAUGCUUUCUAUGAAGUCAGAAGUAGCUCUGGUAUGAAAGAUCUUUCUUAUCAAUUUUGAACAUUGUGGAUUUCAGAAAAGAAAGAAGCUGAGAUAGAGAAAUGGCAAAUUAGAUAUUUUUAUUUUAAGGGAUAUGUAUGCUGUGUCUAAAUAAUCAGGAAAAUUAUAUUUAAGUUUAGCUCUUUUGCCAAAUAUUUAUGUAAAAAUUAUUGUGUAAAUAUUUUAAUGUAUACAUUGUACUGGUAAUGAGCUUAUAUUUUCUUUUGUAAAAUCUUAUUAAUAUCUGUUUUAAUAUACAUAAACCAUCUGCUGGGCAAAUAAUCUCUACCACUUUACAAUCUUUUCAUUGUAAUCCCAUGAAAACUACCAGUGUACCAUGGAACAAACCACUAGAUGAAUAUAUGGUUAGAAACUAACAAGAAAUAAAUUUAGGUAUAGAAAUAAUACAUUUGUUUUUGGAUAAUAUUAUCAUUGAGUCCUGGAUGACAUUUUGGAUUAGUACCCUGUGGCUAUAUCUGCUUGUUGGAUUAUUGGGUUCAGGCUCUGGAUUUGUCCUAAUAAAAUCCCAGAGGGGAAAAAGGUCUUUCCCUUAGGAAACCUCAAAAAGACUUCUGGAGAACAGCUCUGCCUCUGGAGACUGGUUAAUUACACAAUUUUAUCAUCUCAUAACAGAUUCCUGGUAUGCUCUUUGCCAUUUAAUUUUCUGAAAGCAUAAUGAAAAUGGAAAAUAUCUGUUCUAUUUUAUGUCCUGUGAAAACAAUAUCAGUAUUUCUCUUAAACCACAUGCAAGGAUGCCAAGUAAAAAUCCUGAUGAAUUCAUGCAUAAUCCUGAUGCAGAGGCAAUGCUUACUUUAUUUUGUGGAUUGUAGAAUGGAAGCAAGAUAAGCUGGCAACAUCUUCUUUGCACCUGUGUUUUAUUUUGUAAACAUUAACAUUAGAGCCUCAUCUUGCUGAAUUUGUCACAUGUGCUUCUCCUAUGGAAAAGCCCUGUAAAAAUGUGAGUUAGAAAAGAUGUUGUCUUCCAAGGGAAAAGUAGUAGUCAUCACUAUUUAAGUAAAAUUGUCUCAUUGUGACACAUUAUAGGAGGCUAAUAAAUAAUGUAUAAAAUUUUAAAUUUAAAUGUUUUAAAUAUGAGGUUUAUUACAAUUAUAGAACAAUGUGGACAACUGAUGAGACUUCAAGUACUCAUUCAUUCAUUCAUUCAUUCAUUCAUCUAACAUCAUUAUUGACAACCAGGUAAUAGUGAGGUUGUGACGAUUCACAAGAAAGCCUGAAAUUGAGAUACUUCCAUUUAUCUAACCACAUAUUCCACUCUACAAUUAAGAACUUACUCAGCCCAGUAGAACAUUUUCGUAAUAUACAUUCUCAGGUUUGCUAAUUCUGUGACUAAUUUUAAAAUUCUAUAUAAUACUAAGCUUCAGCCACUAUUUAAAGUUGUAAAAUUUUCCUGUUCAAUUUAAACUACAGGUAACACUUCUGAAAAGUGAUUUGAUUUAUUUUUAAAUGGAAUGGCUCUGACUUCUUUUUCCCCAAUGAAAUGUAUCCUCUUUAAUGUUAUGGUGGAAAAAAAAUCAGUGACCUUAAAACUAUAUUUCAUGGGAAUCUUUUGUGCCUCAAUGACAUCUACAGGAGGACGCUUUGGUCUUAAAGUCAGAGAUUGGGAACUGAAAGGUGCCUCCAUGUUUUGCUUUAAACUCUUGCUUUAUAGUCGGUCAAGACACACGAGACAACUGCCAGCAGGUCAGUUUAUCUACCUCGGGUAUCUAACCACCUGAGUAACAGUGGCUUCUAUAUAUAUCAUGUAGAAAUUAAAGAAGGGUGAAUUUUCACUAAUUAACAAUUGUUAACACUGAGAACUUCAUUUUAUUAUUAGGAGAUAUAAAUUAAAACUGUCUUUUCCUCAAAUAGCAAUAAGGUACAACAAGGUACUCAGUAUGAAUUGCAUAACACAGCUGAAAAUAUGUUUCAGUGUCUUCCAAAAAUGAAUAUGCCCGAUGUUCAGUUAUCAGUGAUAAAAGUGUUCGGUUAUCAGUUGCAUAAUGUUUAGUUAAAAACGAAAAUUAUUUUCAACCUCAGUGGCUCAAAGUAGGAUGGCCGUAGAAUGUGGAAAUCAGGCAUUUUCUGAUGGUUUCUUUGCAUAUGAGCCUCCCUAUGAGCAUGACCCAAAUAUAGAUUAAAGGAAAAAAAUUAAUGAUCAUUGAAGCCAACUGAAAUGUCAGUGAACUUAGAGAAAUCUAAUUAUGAUGCAAAUGUGAAAUUAUCAGCAUAGCAAAAUAAACAAAUCAUCCGAACCUUUCUAAAGCCCAUUCCAGUUCUAAAAUUGCAUUAGAUUUAGGUCACAACUUGACUUACAAAUUAAAAUGGUAGAGAAAGAUCACAGAAUUAAUGCACUGUGGUGGUAAUUUGUGUAUUUUGUUCAGCUGAAUUCAGGGACCAUAAUUUGUAUGGUUUUGCAUAACUUAAAUGCUUCUCCAAAUUUGUAUACAUCCAAUUGACUUCUUUUCAAAAAAGUGUUAUUUGACUACAGAUAAACAAGUUCUGCAUGUGGGUCAACAAAUAUAGGAAAUCAAGUUUACAGUACUUCCUGUAUGUAUGUGAGUGUAUGUAUGUAUAUAUAUCUUAUAAUCUAGUAUCAUUUAAAAUACUUUAUUAUACUGUAUAUUGUUUAUUACAUAGAUAUGUGAUGUGAUUUGACAGAGCAAAAAUAAGUUCAAGAAGAUACCUAAUUUUUUAUGAUCAUUUGAUAUUUUCUUGGUAUGUCUGCCUUAUUUUAUUUCCUUAACUUUCUAACCCAUUCAAACUAACAGAGUGAAACAAUUCAUUAUUUUUAAUGAAAAUGCUUUUUAAAAAGUACUCAGAGGACAUUUAGAUAGCUAUAGCAAUCUUAAAUAUCUUGCCAUUUUCCAUCUGGGCAUUGCUCCAGUAUUUUAAGCCAUUAAAUUUAAUGAAUAUUUAAGAUUAAAUCUUGGUUCACUAUUUCCCUAAAAGAGACCAAUCUCACAUUGCACACCAAAAAGAACCGCCUCAUAAUUUCCUAACAAUAUGUAAAUAUCUCUUAAACUUUAUAAAUUUGAACAAAGGAUACAUUUGAUAGUUUUAGGAGAUAUUUUCAAAAUUAAACCAAAUUAAGCCAACUGAACUUUUUGUCUUCACUCUUUCCUUUCCCCCACAGCAGACAUAAAGGCAAUCACAGAAAGAAGUUAACUUAAAAUUCCUUUUUAAAACAUAAAAAUAAUUAAAUUAUUUCCUCCAGCAGAGCUAAUUAUCUGAGAUUCUGCUUUUCUUUUUUUUUCAUUUAAUAAACAUGUGCUAAGUAUCUAGCCACUGCAACUUAAGAUGCUGGGUAAAUAGUGGGAAAUAAAAGUGUACUCCUGGCAUUCACCAAACUUAAUGUCGAUUGCAGGAUAUAGACAAUAAACAGGUAAACAACAAGCAUCAUGCUACACACGAAGGAAAAUAACAAGGUCCUGGAGGGCUAGUCAGGCAAGACAGCUCUGAGGAAUUGAAAAUCAAGGUGAAGACUGAAGAAAUCUGGCUUGCACAGUGUGUGUUGUACAGCUCAUGUUGUGAACUGUGUUGGCGGGGAGGGGCGGGGACCUGCCUGUUUCCCUGAACUGAAAGACAGCCAGCAUGGCUGCACGCCAGCAGGUAACAAAGAGGGUGGUGACAGAUGAAACUCAGAAACGUUCCAAAAGGCUUUGACUUGAUUCUAAGUGCAACAGGAAGCCUUUGCAGGGUUUUAACCUCACCUAAUGUCAGUGCAAAGAAAAUAUGUAGUUUUUAUUUUUAAUUUCCUGGAAAGACUCUAAUUGAAACGUUAUGAAGAAAUUUAGAAAUCCGAGUGAGAAUUUUGCAUGAAAUAGCUAUGGCUGUAAGUCUGGUGAUGAUAGAACCACAGAGAAGGCAGUUUCUUUUAUUCUGAAAGGGUGAGAUGUCUUUUGUAUGUUGUAAGCUGUUUGCCUAGCUGCAAUGUAAAACUGCUUCCUGGUUCCCUCACUAUUUCCCUAUUUAUAGAAUUUAAAAAAAUGUUUUGUUUUGUUUUAUUAGUCUUACAGAAUGAAUUAUCUUGAUGACCUAAAUCUUAUUUUCAUUUUUCAGCAUUUUUUUGACUAAAGCUCUGAUGAGAUAGAAAGUUUCUAAGAGAAUCACAUUUCUAAAAUAUUGAGGGGAUUUAAAAAACAUUUAUUCAAGUAUUAUCUAUUGCAGCAGUAUCCCACAGAAGUUUCUGUGGUUAUGGAAAUGUUCUAUAUCUGUGCUGCAUAGUAGCCAACACUCACAUGUAGCUGUUGAGCAUUUAAAAUUUGGCUAGGCAGCCAGGCAUGGUGGC